GCGUAAGAUCAGCGUUAUUGCAUGUGUGACGUUAUCCAGUUAUCUAUAUUUCAAAUCUAUGAAUAGUACAGUGAAAGAUUGUAUGUACGAUAUUUUACGAAGCAACUGAUAUAAUGCGUGGCGAUCUAGAGAAAUCUGCCUUACAUUUUGAUGUACGCCAUCCCCGCUACUUUUUUGAAGUGCUUGGUGAAACAGCUUCCGCGCUACGUAUUUAACAUAACCAACUUCGUUGGUAUAUCAAUAUUUAUUCACAGCAGUAAAAAAUUCCUGAUUUAAGCCAUUUGUUAUAUUUAAUCCGCAGUCAAUAUGCAAGAGAUUUAUUAUAAAUUCUCAGUAAAUGUUGUUAUUAAUUAAUAUGAUGCUACUAAAAUUUCUGUGAUAUUUAUGUCCGACGACAAAAUUGUUGAAUAUGAAUCUAUAAUUGAUCUUCAUUAUCGGUUUAACUUUGAUUAACCGUAGGACGUUGAUAGUAGUUUUCGUUUAUUCUGCGAAAGGCACCACUAUCCAGUAUCUAGUGCGUUGAUCGAAACACAUAGUAUUAUAAAAUAAUUCAUUAUUCCGCGUAGAUGUAAUAUGUAACGUUGGCAAAAUAAUUAUUAUACGUUGAUUUAAAAAUCA